AACAUUGUCAGUUAAAGCCUGGUUCACAUGGCAAGAUAAUAAGGCUGAUAUCAGACCCGAUGUUCCCCUUCCGACAAUCUUAAAGACGCCCCAACAAUUGUGAUGAUGCCAAAUAUCUUAUCAGAUAUUCCUGCUCUGUGUGGUUUGUAAGCGUGCUCUGAUCUGCUCAGAAGGAUGUGAGGAGCUAAAUGUGACAUACAGCCAAUCAGAAAGCAACGUGUCU